CGAGGCGCUGUAAAAUCCGACUAGCAUUUUCAAGAAGAUAAACCGCCAAGCGACAUCAUCUCGAACUAUCAUCACAGUUCAUUGCAAAUAAUCAUUUAACAAGAUUAGCAACCCUGGCUGGGUUCGUGUAUUUAGAUAUUUGCAGGAGUGGGCAACCCAACCAUGGAUUGUUUAGGAAGAGUUCUCCUUUCUUCUUGACAGCCUACCACCCUGAAAUUGGUUUGUUCAGAGCUAGGGUUCCAUGGCUAGUAGAGCCCUGCACCUUCGCAGAAUCCGGUGCGCCCUUGAUGGACGACCCUUGAAAAACCGCGGGAAGAAAUAGUUUUCAGGCCAAGUCGUACUUAUAACCGCGGCAGGUCUCACAAGGUGAACAACCUCUG
rfam:Aspergillus calidoustus genome assembly, contig: SCAF16